GGCAAUAGAUCCAACCCAUAACCUCUAUUUUCAAGCAAGUUAUAGACAUUAAACCUAAAUUGCUAGUAUUGGACUAAUUACCAAUCAAUCUGUUUCGAGCAUUGACCGGAGAUCGGAAGUAGGAAUUAAGUUUGCAACCUUCACCCAUAAAUUAACACCAUGCUAAUUAAUCCAAAUUCAUGUAUGAACAAAAAAAAAUAGAGCACAACACAAUACCCACUACAUUAAAUCAACACCCAACCCCAUAAUUCCAUCCCAGAUCUUGGGAUUUUAUCCACCCAUCACAAAAAGUAAAAAAUUAUACCUUCCAUGAAAGCAGCCAUGGGUAACAUGAAAUUAAGCAAUUACAAGCAAACCUACUUUCAGUCAGCGAGAUCGUUUGAUUCUGCCUUUCACGUUCGGCAUAUCAUCGAGUACCACAUUGGUUCACCUUUUGAGCCUUUAAUUUUUCUC
rnacentral:lncRNA from 1 species